UUAGGCUAAGGGCACGUCUGCCUGGGCGUCACGC
rnacentral:rRNA from 1 species